UUUACAACUCGACAAGUAAUUGCUUGAACUAAACUAUAUUAAUGAAUAUGGAUUUAUUCGUAUCUACGAUUAUGUACAGGUAUACGAGCAACAAUACUGACAGGAGUCCAAGCAAUAGAUUUCGAAAAUAUACAAGUAUCACCACCAGUUGGUUUUAUAUGGUCAGACACCGGAAUGAUUCAUUGUGGUCAAAAUGUCUGGAUUACUGUUCAAGAUUAUAACAAUGCAAAAGCCGCAGCAGGGACUUAUGCAAUCUUUGUAAAAAAUAUAGCAGUAGAUAUAUUCACUCGAGACGUGUUAAAGAACAGUAGUAUAACAAGUAAAAGCAGCAAUAGAACCAAAGGCCCUGUAAAGCCAAAACUUGAUCCGGUUAAAAUGCUUGCCGUAAGAGAUAUUUAUAGACAUUAUCUGAAAGGGCAUAGGCAAUUGUCGAAAAAAACAAAUCAAUGCGAAGAUUAACGAUUAUGUAGAAUAUAUUCGGGGAAAAAUUUCAGAUUUAGAACGACCGAACAAAAUACUAAUCAAAAAAACUGAGGAAAAGCUUGAUAAAAUAGUGAAAGAGGCUAAUGAAUCAAUAAAAAAAGAAAAAGGCACGAAACUGAUAGAAGUUUCUA